UUCAACUUUCAAGAUCUUUUUACAAAAGGAGGGAAUAAAUAUCAGAAUACAUUUUUUGGCACUAACCAUCAACAAUUCUGGUAAUAAUUAUAAUCAAUAGAAAAUGUGGUGUUCAUUGCUCGCAUUACUACAUAAUGGGAGAAAGGGAGAGGAAAGGGUGGCCCCAAGACCUCCCGUAGAAUCUCAAAGAGGGACCAGGGAGAACAGAGCUCCUUGAUGUCAGAAGAACCGCUGCCAACUUUCCUCUAUUAGCUGAAAAUUGAAGCUCUGCUGCACUGAAGGCCCUCAAGUACAUACUCAAACCCCAGCCAAAGGUUUCUGUAAUGACUUGAUCAUCUGCUAACUGAAUUCUGCACAUGAUCAGACUUUUCUCAUCAUUCUUGUAAUGACUUGAUCUAUGAAGCACCAAGGUAACUUAGCUGGAAAUUGUUGGCAUGAAUAUUACCCACAUUCUGAUCCCAGCAAUGCUGUCUCUGUUUCGAAAUAGAGUCUUCAUCUUGCCUAGUCCAGUCGGCAGUUUACAUCAA